AGCGUGGGGAGCAAACAGGAUUAGAUACCCUGGUAGUCCACGCCCUAAACGUUGAUCAUUAGCUGAUGGGGAACUCAUCGGCGCAGCUAACGCAUUAAAUGAUCCGCCUGAGUAGUACGUUCGCAAGAAUAAAACUUAAAGGAAUUGACGGGGACCCGCACAAGCGGUGGAGCAUGUGGUUUAAUUUGAAGAUACGCGUAGAACCUUACCCACUCUUGACAUCUUCUGCAAAGCUAUAGAGAUAUAGUCGAGGUUAACAGAAUGACAGAUGGUGCAUGGUUGUCGUCAGCUCGUGUCGUGAGAUGUUCGGUUAAGUCCUGCAACGAGCGCAACCCUUAUCCUUAGUUACUAACAUUCAGUUGAGCACUCUAGGGAGACUGCCCGAGUAAUCGGGAGGAAGGUGGGGACGACGUCAAAUCAUCAUGCCUCUUACGAGUGGGGCCACACACGUGCUACAAUGGCCGGUACAAAGUGAAGCAACCUGGUGACAGUGAGCAAACCACAAAAAGCCGGUCUCAGUUCGGAUUGGAGUCUGCAACUCGACUCCAUGAAGUCGGAAUCGCUAGUAAUCGUAGAUCAGCUACGCUACGGUGAAUACGUUCUCGGGUCUUGUACACACCGCCCGUCAAACCAUGGGAGCUGGUAAUGCCCGAAGUCGGUUUA
rnacentral:rRNA from 2 species